GACGAACGCUGGCGGCGUGCUUAACACAUGCAAGUCGAACGGAAAGGCCCUGCUUUUGUGGGGUGCUCGAGUGGCGAACGGGUGAGUAACACGUGAGUAACCUGCCCUUGACUUUGGGAUAACUUCAGGAAACUGGGGCUAAUACCGGAUAGGAGCUCCUGCUGCAUGGUGGGGGUUGGAAAGUUUCGGCGGUUGGGGAUGGACUCGCGGCUUAUCAGCUUGUUGGUGGGGUAGUGGCUUACCAAGGCUUUGACGGGUAGCCGGCCUGAGAGGGUGACCGGCCACAUUGGGACUGAGAUACGGCCCAGACUCCUACGGGAGGCAGCAGUGGGGAAUAUUGCACAAUGGGCGGAAGCCUGAUGCAGCAACGCCGCGUGCGGGAUGACGGCCUUCGGGUUGUAAACCGCUUUCGCCUGUGACGAAGCGUGAGUGACGGUAAUGGGUAAAGAAGCACCGGCUAACUACGUGCCAGCAGCCGCGGUGAUACGUAGGGUGCGAGCGUUGUCCGGAUUUAUUGGGCGUAAAGGGCUCGUAGGUGGUUGAUCGCGUCGGAAGUGUAAUCUUGGGGCUUAACCCUGAGCGUGCUUUCGAUGCGGGUUGACUUGAGGAAGGUAGGGGAGAAUGGAAUUCCUGGUGGAGCGGUGGAAUGCGCAGAUAUCAGGAGGAACACCAGUGGCGAAGGCGGUUCUCUGGGCCUUUCCUGACGCUGAGGAGCGAAAGCGUGGGGAGCGAACAGGCCUAGAUACCCUGGUAGUCCACGCUGUAAACGGUGGGUACUAGGUGUGGGGUCCAUUCCACGGGUUCCGUGCCGUAGCUAACGCUUUAAGUACCCCGCCUGGGGAGUACGGCCGCAAGGCUAAAACUCAAAGGAAUUGACGGGGCCCCGCACAAGCGGCGGAGCAUGCGGAUUAAUUCGAUGCAACGCGUAGAACCUUACCUGGGUUUGACAUGGAUCGGGAGUGCUCAGAGAUGGGUGUGCCUCUUUUGGGGUCGGUUCGCAGGUGGUGCAUGGCUGUCGUCAGCUCGUGUCGUGAGAUGUUGGGUUAAGUCCCGCAACGAGCGCAACCCUUGUUCACUGUUGCCAGCACGUUAUGGUGGGGACUCAGUGGAGACCGCCGGGGUCAACUCGGAGGAAGGUGGGGAUGACGUCAAGUCAUCAUGCCCCUUAUGUCCAGGGCUUCACGCAUGCUACAAUGGCUGGUACAGAGAGUGGCGAGCCUGUGAGGGUGAGCGAAUCUCGGAAAGCCGGUCUCAGUUCGGAUUGGGGUCUGCAACUCGACCUCAUGAAGUCGGAGUCGCUAGUAAUCGCAGAUCAGCAACGCUGCGGUGAAUACGUUCCCGGGGCU
rnacentral:rRNA from 1 species